GCCAGGAUAGCUCAGUAAGGAGAGCACGAGAUCCUUAAUCUCAGGGCUGUGGCUUCGAGUCCCAUGUUGGGCA